GCGUAAUAUAACUUUAUGUUGUGCAUGUUGCUCAGAUGUUAGUUUUGUAAGUUACUUUGAGCGCUGUUGUUUGUCCUAGUUCCUUUUCAGCCACUACAAUUGUUAUUUUCGGCUUGCGAGUUUGAAUGAUCCUUUAGAACUCUUUCUCGUAUACAAAUGCCAGAUAUGUUGAAAUCAUUGAACCGGAAUAUGGGGUAGAUAAAAUGUAUUCG
rnacentral:lncRNA from 1 species